CUCCUUCUGUGUAAUGACCCUUUGCCCAGUUGUUCCCUGCACCGGUUUGUCCUGUAAUAAGCAAGAGUAGAGAAUGCAACUUAAAUAAGAGCUACACGCCAAAAAAUCAAAUAGUUGAUCUAUAAUCACAGAGGCAUGGACACAUGGAACAGACUGAUGGCUGUCAGAGGGGAGCGGAAGAGGGGACUCGAUGAAAGAUGGUGAAGGGACCAGCCAAAGAACAUAUGUAUAACCCAUGGACACUCAACAGUGUGGUGAUGGCCUGGAGGAAGGGGGAGCAGGGGCUGGGAGGAGGGUCACAAAACGGGGAAAAUUUGGGACAUGUGCAAUAGUAUCAAUGAAAAUAAAGAAAAAAUAAAGUUGCUAUGACCUUU